rnacentral:rRNA from 1 species
UGGGGAAUUUUGGACAAUGGGGGCAACCCUGAUCCAGCAACGCCGCGUGGAGGAAGAAGGCUCUCGGGUCGUAAACUCCUUUCAGUUGGGACGAAGCUUCGCGGGUUAACAGCCGGCUGAAGUGACGGUACCUUCACAAGAAGCACCGGCUAACUACGUGCCAGCAGCCGCGGUAAUACGUAGGGUGCAAGCGUUGUCCGGAAUCAUUGGGCGUAAAGAGCGUGUAGGCGGCCCGAUUAGUCCGCUGUGAAAGUCCAGGGCUCAACCCUGGAAUGCCGGUGGAUACUGUCGGGCUCGAGUCCGGAAGAGGCGAGUGGAAUUCCUGGUGUAGCGGUGAAAUGCGCAGAUAUCAGGAAGAACACCAACGGCGAAGGCAGCUCGCUGGGACGGUACUGACGCUGAGACGCGAAAGCGUGGGGAGCAAACAGG